GCCCAGCCCGGACCCGCCUCCACCCUCCAGUGCCCUGGCGCUGGGGGCGUGCUAAAAGCAACAGAAAACAAAACAAAAACAAACAAAGCGCCAAACCCCACUCUCACCUCUUCUACUGGUCAAAGGUAAGUGUGAGUUCAGCCUCUCCCUCGUGCGUCUCUGACCCUUCUCUGGUUCUCUGGGCUGAGGUCUGAAGGAGCCAAAAGGGGCCCCCCUGAAAAAGAAAUUAUGGCCGCUUUUUAGAAUAUGUUUUCCAAGCAUCAAAAUCUCUCUCUCUCUCUCUCUCACACACACACAUAUAUAUACACACACACACGCACACACUUCAAACCCACACUUGCCAGUCUGGAAGAGCACUACCGAUGUGCAUGUUUCUGGAAGCAUUUCCUUAGCUAUUGGAGGAAAUGUUUACUAAUAUUUCAGGUUGUAGACACCAAUAAUUAUUCUGUGAAUUGGGGAGAGGGAGG
rnacentral:lncRNA from 1 species